GUACAAGUAGGAGUAGUAGUAGUAGUAGUAGUAGUAGUAGUAGUAGUAGUAGUAGUAGUAGUAGUAGUAGAAGUAGAAGUAGCAGCAGUAGUAGUGGUAGAAGUAGUAGUAGUAGUAACAGCAGCAGCAGCAGUAGUAGUAGUAGUCGCUGCAGCAGGAGUUGUAAUAGUAGCAGCAGCAGUAGCAGUAGUAGUAGUAGCAGCAGCAGCAGGAGUAGUAGCAGCAGCAGCAGUAGCAGCAGCAGUAGCAGUAGUAGUAGUAGUUGAAGCAGUAGUAGUAGUUGAAGUAGUAGUAGUAGUAGUAGUAGUAGCAGUAGUAGCAGCAGUAGUAGUAGUAGUAGUAGUAGUAGUAGUAGUAGAUGUAGUAGUAGUAGUAGUAGUAGAAGUAGAAGUAGUAGUAGUAGUAGUAGUAGCAGUAGUAGUAGUAGUAGUAGUAGUAGUAGGUAGUUGUUGUUGUUGUUGUGGCUGUUGUAAUAGUAGUAGUAGUUUUGCAGAAGUAGUAGUAGUAGUAGUAGUACUAGUAGUAGAAGUAAAAGUAGUAACUUUCAAAGCAAUGUCUACAAGUUUAAAUUCCUUAACCCUGUUCAAGGUGUAUACACAUUCAAUAUUUAACUACAGUCCAGGUUUGCAAUUAACAAACUAUCUGAAAAGCCUGUGUGUGAGUCAGAUGUGUCUGCGGCUAAUCUAUUGGUUAUAAAAUAUCACAGCCUUUUCUGAUUGGCUGAGUUCAAAUACAGAAAGUUUACCUGUUAGAUUGAAAUUAUGGAGAAGGCGUAUUGAAGAAAAAAUGCAGGUUAAACUUGUUGUUAAAAUGAAGUUAAUUUAAUUUCACAAACAGUAGAGUUUAACUUAAUGAGUUUUUCCAUUAACAAGAAUUUCUUAAAAUAAUAAUGUAUGGAUAUCAUUUGGAAAGUGACAUGAAAUGUUGUUAAAAAGUGAUGCAUACAAGUGUUUCAGAAGUCUGUCUAGGAAUAGAACAACAACUGAAGCUGACCAGUUGAUGGAAGAUACUGCAGAGUUUGGCAGGGAAAUAACCCAAGACAGCAAAGCGGCUCUUUUGGCGCAUUUACCAAGAGGACUAACAUGGCCACAAAUUCAUGAGAUCAUGCAGGAGCCGUACAGUAUAACAGCAGUACAAGUUCUAUAAAAGAUCCACGACCUACUGAAGCCCAGCUAAUUAACAAAAAAGUUUUUAAAAACUGUAAUUUUAUCCCACCUGGGUAUUUAUAAUUUACUAACUGUCACUUGGAAAGUAAUACAUGUACAUGCAUUCAUGUUCUGAAUUUCUUUGAACAAUAAAAUUAUAUAAAAGUAUUUUAAUGAAAUUGAGCACCUAAAUUGCAUUAAAGUGAAAGUAGCUGAGAAAAAUAGUAUCCUUAAUUGUUCUCAUGGGCAGCUACAUAUAUUGUGACAAACAUGAAGUAGCUAAAAUAACUUAAAUUUUUCAUUUUGUUUCUUGUAUAUCGUUUGUACAGGGUUCGUGAAUUGUUACUGUAUAUUACUUGACUUGCUUGUAUUUUGUUACUUUGAAUACAUGUUGUUUAGGUUGCAUUAUACUUUUUAACUUUUAAAGUAGCGCCUGUUCUGUUAUGUAAGGGCCUGAUUUAUGAUAAUGGACCUAGAGGCUUUGUAAGCAUGUAUUAAACAACACUUGUUUGAUCUGAAUAAUUUGUUAAAUAAAUGUAACACAAUUUGUAAUCUGAUGUUAUAUUUUGAUGAAUUGUGAACAAAAUAAUACAUCGAAGAAACUAA